UGAAAAAGUCACUGAACUGUUUUCUGUUCGUCACUGAACUGUUUCCUGUUUGUCCAGUUUCUGCUGUUGCUCCAUUGCUUGUUGUGAUGCGUAACCAUGGCAACAGGUUGAUGUUUUUACAGCUGGGAACAGCUGGUUAGCAUUUCUAAAGCUUGAAAUGCCUGAACUUUGACCCCAAAUCAGCUCCAUGGAUCCAGAAGGAAGACGUUGAAACCUUCUGAUCCCCUACUCCAGCAUCGCUAACAGGCAGCCAGACUGAGAGCUGCAGAGGAGCAGCAACAGCAAAGGAGGUGAUGAGCAGAUCUGCCAACAACUGAUGGUGUCAAGAGAGGUUUUGGCUCAGAGGAACCCGGGCAGCAGCGUGUCGGGUCACACGACUCCGGCUCAAAGGCGUCUCUGUCCGCCUGCCUGACCCACGGCGAGCGGCUGAGGUCAAAUCCUGAAGACAUCCAUUCAUCCAGCAGAGAUCCAUCAGCCACAGAAAAUUAAUGAGGCGGCACCAGAACCAGAACCGGCUCCAAACUGAGACCCACUUCAGGCCGACCCAAGAGUGAAACCUGCAGCUCAUCAGGAUGUUACGGAGCGAGAUCAAAGCAGGCAGAGAUCCGUCCAAUCAGGGUCCAGAACGUCUCCAGAGACCGAAACCAGGAAGUGGAGGAAAAUCAGAGGAACAGAAAGAAGAACCAGAACCAGGUAGCUCUGGAGGAGCUGCAGAGACCCACGGCUCUGGUUAGACCAAGGUAACCUGACGGCGAGCUGUGGGUGUGGAUGGAUACGGGGCGGACGAAUCUGACCGGUGAUCAGGCUGGAGACGAGCAGCGGCAGCACCAGCA